rnacentral:lncRNA from 1 species
AAGAAAAGAAUCACCAAAAAUUUGAGAUUCGGCACGACCAGGUAAAAUUGACCCUUCUUUCUUUGCUCCAUUCUCGUUACACGACAAUGAGCAAAGAGGGGCAGCUGUAAUAGGCCAAUUUUGACCUGGUCCAGAUCAAAAAAUAAAACAUAAUAAAGCUAAAACUUUCUUUAAGUCCAUUUACAUACCCAACCCAAUUAUAGCCCAAUACAACAAAAAAACCCUAAUACCAAAUUGAAAACAAAAAAAAAACCCUAAAUAGCAACCAAACAACAAAUCACAG